rnacentral:ribozyme from 1 species
AAAAAGGAAAUAUAGAAAUAUUGAUUGUUUCAAUGUCACAACUAAUGACAAAUCAUGUGCUGUCUUUUCGCUUUUUUUUUUCAAUUCCAACUCGAUGCGAUUCAAUCUGUUCAGGCCGAUGGUGACUUGUUACCUCAAGAACUGAGUGAUGUAUGGGAUGCAGCAGCAGGUAAUGGAGAAAACAAAGAUCUCAUUGGCUUUGAUUCUUUCCUUC